GAUGAACGCUGGCGGCGUGCCUAAUACAUGCAAGUCGAGCGAACAGAUGAGGAGCUUGCUCCUCUGACGUUAGCGGCGGACGGGUGAGUAACACGUGGAUAACCUACCUAUAAGACUGGGAUAACUUCGGGAAACCGGAGCUAAUACCGGAUAAUAUAUUGAACCGCAUGGUUCAAUAGUGAAAGACGGUUUUGCUGUCACUUAUAGAUGGAUCCGCGCCGCAUUAGCUAGUUGCUAAGGUAACGGCUUACCAAGGCAACGAUGCGUAGCCGACCUGAGAGGGUGAUCGGCCACACUGGAACUGAGACACGGUCCAGACUCCUACGGGAGGCAGCAGUAGGGAAUCUUCCGCAAUGGGCGAAAGCCUGACGGAGCAACGCCGCGUGAGUGAUGAAGGUCUUCGGAUCGUAAAACUCUGUUAUUAGGGAAGAACAAAUGUGUAAGUAACUAUGCACGUCUUGACGGUACCUAAUCAGAAAGCCACGGCUAACUACGUG
rnacentral:rRNA from 1 species